rnacentral:rRNA from 1 species
UGGGGAAUAUUGCACAAUGGGCGAAAGCCUGAUGCAGCGACGCCGCGUGAGGGAUGACGGCCUUCGGGUUGUAAACCUCUUUCAGUAGGGACGAAGCGCAAGUGACGGUACCUGCAGAAGAAGCACCGGCUAACUACGUGCCAGCAGCCGCGGUAAUACGUAGGGUGCGAGCGUUGUCCGGAAUUACUGGGCGUAAAGAGCUCGUAGGCGGUUUGUCACGUCGUCUGUGAAAUCCUAGGGCUUAACCCUGGACGUGCAGGCGAUACGGGCUGACUUGAGUACUACAGGGGAGACUGGAAUUUCUGGUGUAGCGGUGGAAUGCACAGAUAUCAGGAAGAGCACAGAUGGCGAAGGCAGGUCUCUGGGUAGUAACUGACGCUGAGGAGCGAAAGCAUGGGUAGCGAACAGG